rnacentral:rRNA from 1 species
UACGAAGGGGGCUAGCGUUGUUCGGAAUCACUGGGCGUAAAGCGCACGUAGGCGGAUGUGCCAGUCAGGGGUGAAAUCCCGGAGCUCAACUCCGGAACUGCCUCUGAUACAGCACGUCUUGAGUUCGAGAGAGGUGGGUGGAAUUCCUAGUGUAGAGGUGAAAUUCGUAGAUAUUCGGAGGAACACCAGUGGCGAAGGCGGCUCACUGGCUCGGUACUGACGCUGAGGUGCGAAAGCGUGGGGAGCAAACAGG